rnacentral:rRNA from 1 species
GGGAACGUUAAGGGCGUCGAGCGGCGGACGGGUGAGUAAUGCCUAGGAAAUUGCCCUGAUGUGGGGGAUAACCAUUGGAAACGAUGGCUAAUACCGCAUGAUGCCUACGGGCCAAAGAGGGGGACCUUCGGGCCUCUCGCGUCAGGAUAUGCCUAGGUGGGAUUAGCUAGUUGGUGAGGUAAUGGCUCACCAAGGCGACGAUCCCUAGCUGGUCUGAGAGGAUGAUCAGCCACACUGGAACUGAGACACGGUCCAGACUCCUACGGGAGGCAGCAGUGGGGAAUAUUGCACAAUGGGCGCAAGCCUGAUGCAGCCAUGCCGCGUGUGUGAAGAAGGCCUUCGGGUUGUAAAGCACUUUCAGUCGUGAGGAAGGUGGUAGUGUUAAUAGCACUAUCAUUUGACGUUAGCGACAGAAGAAGCACCGGCUAACUCCGUGCCAGC